GAAAAGCGCAAUUUAUUAUGGAUUUUAAAGAGAGAAAAGGAAAAAGCUUAAGAAGGAGAAAAAGAAAUCAUUUGGACCAUUUGGAAAAUUCAAAUCUAUUGCGUAUAACGGCAAAAUUCCGAUUUCUUUGGCGCCGCGAUUUGAAGGUACCGUUGGAAAGAGGAAGUUCUCCUGAUUAAAAAAUAUACAGUGUUAUAGGUUAUUAUAUCUGUCAGCGAUUUCCAUUUAUUUUUUAUGAUACAUUGGUUUGUAUUUUA